rnacentral:rRNA from 1 species
AGAGUGAACGCUGGCGGCGUGCUUAACACAUGCAAGUCGAACGGGCAAGAGCUGUAGCGAUACAGAGUUCUGCUAGUGGCAGACGGGUGAGUAGUACAUGGGAAUCUACCUUGCAGUGCGAAAUAACAGUUGGAAGCAAUUGCUAAUGUCGCAUAUAGCCGAGAGGUGAAAGAUUUAUCGCUGCAAGACGAGCCCAUGCAGGAUUAGCUAGUUGGUGAGGUAAUGGCUCACCAAGGCAACGAUCUUUAGUUGGUCUGAGAGGAUGAUCAGCCACACUGGAACUGAGACACGGUCCAGACUCCUACGGGAGGCAGCAGUGGGGAAUAUUGGACAAUGGGCGCAAGCCUGAUCCAGCGACGCCGCGUGAGUGAAGAAGGCCUUCGGGUUGUAAAGCUCUUUUAGUGGGGAAGAUAAUGACGGUACCCACAGAAAAAGCCCCGGCUAACUUCGUGCCAGCAGCCGCGGUAAUACGAAGGGGGCUAGCGUUACUCGGAAUUAUUGGGCGUAAAGCGUGCGUAGGCUGCUUAGUAAGUCAAAAGUGAAAGCCUUGGGCUCAACCUAAGAAUUGCUUUUGAAACUACCAAGCUUGAGUACUGUAGGGGAUAGCGGAAUUCCUAGUGUAGGGGUGAAAUUCGUAGAUAUUAGGAGGAACACCGGAGGCGAAAGCGGUUAUCUGGACAGUUACUGACGCUGUUGCACGAAAGCGUGGGGAGCAAACAGGAUU